rnacentral:rRNA from 1 species
GGGAGUGAAAUAGAACCUGAAACCCUGCACUUACAAGCUGUGGAAGCACAUUUCUUGUGUGACCGCGUACUUUUUGUAGAACGGGCCAAGGAGUUACGUUAAGUAGCAAGGUUAAGCACUUAAGGUGCGGAGCCGUAGCGAAAGCGAGUUUUAACUGAGCGUUCAGUUACUUGACGUAGACCCGAAACCGGGCGACCUACCCAUGAGCAGGAUGAAGCGAAAGUAAAAGUUCGUGGAGGUCCGAACCCACGAGCGUUGAAAAGCUCGGGGAUGACUUGUGGGUAGCGGUGAAAUUCCAAUCGAGCCCGGAGAUAGCUGGUUCUCCCCGAAAUAGCUUUAGGGCUAGCCUCAAGGUGAGAGAUACGGAGGUAGAGCACUGAAUGUCCUAGGGGGUAUUGCACCUACCGAAGACUAUCAAACUCCGAAUGCCGUCAUCUUAUACUUGGGAGUCAGACUGUGGGUGAUAAGAUUCAUAGUCGAAAGGGCAACAGCCCAGAUCGUCAGCUAAGGUCCCUAAAUGUAAGUUAAGUGGUAAAGGAUGUGGGAUUGCACAGACAACCAGGAUGUUGGCUUAGAAGCAGCCACUCAUUCAAAGAGUGCGUAAUAGCUCACUGGUCGAGUGAUCCUGCGCCGAAGAUUUCCGGGGCUAAAACUUACUACCGAAGCUACGGCAUCAGUAAUGAUGGGUAGGGGAGCUUCCCAUACGGGUUGAAGCAUGACCGUAAGGACAUGUGGACAGUAUGGGAGUGAGAAUGUUGGCAUGAGUAGCGAGAUGUGGGUGAGAAUCCCACAGGCCGUAAACCCAAGGU